CUCGUCUUGUCUCAGAGGGAGCCCUGACCUCAAGUGCUGGGACCAGAGCUUUUCAGCCUUCUGGGCCCUCUGACUGGAUUGACUCUCCUGCCUGAUGAUCAAGCCUUAAUUAACUUGGGACUCUUCCAGAAGGAGGGGCCUCUUGUUAAACAUGGACCAGCACACUAGUGACUUGACUCUUUGGAAGGCUUCCCAGAAGAGGGUGGGAAUGAUUGCUGGAUAAAAGCUCCCAUCAGUGGAGAGAGGAGGGGGGCAGUGACGACAGCAGAGGUAUUCUAAUGGUUGGUUGGCACUAACUCGUAGAAGAGGGAUUUAAUUUGGUAUCAUUACCAGCAUUAAAAAAGAAGAAAGAAAAAAAAGAAGUCAAAUAGAAAACAUCAGUGUAUAUCACAGGUUGUCAUGAUGCUCCUUGAGAUGAUGGCUGUGAAAUGACUCCAAAGUGAACCUCAAGCCCAAUCAAGUGAUGUGCCAUGGUCUAAGUCUCAGGAGCCACCUAUUUGUAGCCCAGGAAAGUGGGGACAUGUGACCUAGUGUCCAUCAUGAUGCUCGGAAGGCCCAUUCUGGGGCAUCUAGCAGUCUGAGUUCGUUGGUUGACUAGUCGUGCCGCCUCUGAUGUCCCUCAGUCACAUGCCAGCCUCCUCACUCAUGCGUACUUUCAAGCGACCAGGUUCAGGUCAGGCUUCAGCCUGAGGACCUAAGGUUCUGCCUCUGGGCAUCCAGGGAGCGAACCUGCAUCCCCCAGCU